rnacentral:lncRNA from 1 species
UACCACUUUCCACCAUGCAACAAAUUCAACCAAGUGCUAGUGUGAAUGCAGAAAGUUCCGCUAUCAUACUUGAUCCCAAAGGGAGUUCAAUACCACUUUCCACCAUGCAACAAAUUCAACCAAGUGCUAGUGUGAAUGCAGAAAGUUCCGCUAUCAUACUUGAUCCCAAAGGGAGUUCAAUACCACUUUCCACCAUGCAACAAAUUCAACCAAGUGCUAGUGUGAAUGCAGAAAGUUCCGCUAUCAUACUUGAUCCCAAAGGGAGUUCAAUACCACUUUCCACCAUGCAACAAAUUCAACCAAGUGCUAGUGUGAAUGCAGAAAGUUCCGCUAUCAUACUUGAUCCCAAAGGGAGUUCAAUACCACUUUCCACCAUGCAACAAAUUCAACCAAGUGCUAGUGUGAAUGCAGAAAGUUCCGCUAUCAUACUUGAUCCCAAAGGGAGUUCAAUACCACUUUCCACCAUGCAACAAAUUCAACCAAGUGCUAGUGUGAAUGCAGAAAGUUCCGCUAUCAUACUUGAUCCCAAAGGGAGUUCAAUACCACUUUCCACCAUGCAACAAAUUCAACCAAGUGCUAGUGUGAAUGCAGAAAGUUCCGCUAUCAUACUUGAUCCCAAAGGGAGUUCAAUACCACUUUCCACCAUGCAACAAAUUCAACCAAGUGCUAGUGUGAAUGCAGAAAGUUCCGCUAUCAUACUUGAUCCCAAAGGGAGUUCAAUACCACUUUCCACCAUGCAACAAAUUCAACCAAGUGCUAGUGUGAAUGCAGAAAGUUCCGCUAUCAUACUUGAUCCCAAAGGGAGUUCAAUACCACUUUCCACCAUGCAACAAAUUCAACCAAGUGCUAGUGUGAAUGCAGAAAGUUCCGCUAUCAUACUUGAUCCCAAAGCGAGUUCAAUACCACUUUCCACCUUGCAACAGAUCCAACCAAGUGCUAGUGUGAAUGCCGAAAGUUCCGCUAUCAUACUUGAUCCCAAAGGGAGUUCAAUACCACUUUCUACCAUGCAACAAAUUCAACCAAGUGCUAGUGUGAAUGCAGAAAGUUUCGCUAUCAUACUUGAUCCCAAAGGGAGCUCAACACCACUUUCCACCAUGCAACAAAUUCAACCAAGUGCUAGUGUGAAUGCCGAAAGUUCGACUAUCAUACUUGAUCCCAAAGGGAGCUCAACACCACUUUCCACCAUGCGGCAACGGCAACCCAGUGUUAGUGUGAAUGCUGAAAGGUCUACUAUGAUGAUUGAUCGAAAAGAAAGCUCUACACAACAAGUAGAGUUGAAAAUUACCCCUAGUACAAAACCCAACGUUCCAACUCAAACACUGAACCCUACAGCAACAAUCACAGUUUCAGCAAGCGUCAAGAUGACACCAACACUCACCACAACCAGUGCGGCAGGUUCUGUUAAGCAAUUUGCUUUUAUCCACGUCAUUUUUGCUACGAUCCUUGUACAUUUCUGUUUGUAAUUUUUUUACAACUAUUUGUACAAGCAUGUAUGGGGUUUGAUAUAAACAUGUAAUUAUUAUAAGAGGAUUUGUCCUCAAAAAGGAUAGAAUAUCAAUGGUAAGAACGUAGUAGUAAAGCAUAACAGGGAAAGGAAACAGCAGUAACAGAAAAAUGUACUGUACAGUGAAGCCUUACUUUAUGAGGUUGUAACUUUCGCAAUUCUAUAGAAAGGAAUAGCAAUGAUAAAAGGAACGCAAUUGACUAAAAAAGUAAUGUCAAAGUAUAGACAGUGGACCUCGCUUUGGAAGUCCAAAUCAAAUAACAAAUCCAAAAGAAAAUAUCCACCUGCUUACAAAUAACAUAGAAGGAUCGUUCAAAGGCGAUAAACCCGUAAGGAGAUUUGGAACUUUUACUUUGUGAAGACCUAUGAUUCCAACCCAACUACUGUAAAGCCACCUUCAACCAUGCAGCGAAGCCAACCAACACUCGCCACUGCAACCAUGCAGUACAGCAUGCUCUGUUAAACAACUUGGCUAUGCACUUUUUGCUAUGAUCCUUGUAAAUUUCUGUUUGUAAUUUUUUACAAAUAUUUGCACAAACAUAGACGUUUUGGAAACAUGUUUUCAGAACCAAUAGCUAUAAACAGAUUAUAAACAUAUAAUUUUUAACAGAACUUGUCCUCAAAAACCUUAAAACAUUUUUGACGUAAUUCAUGCCGCCAAUUUUACCAAUAAAUUCACACUUUGACAUCACAACUGUAAUAAAGCUCGAGUAAUUGUAUAUAAAAGAUAGUAACAGAGAUCGUAAAUAAAAAGUAAUGGUAUAAAAUGAAAGCCUAAAUCCUCCUUACGGAAUACCUCGCUAUAAUACAGAUUGUUUGUGGACAAUGCAUCUCUUACCUGGAGUAAAUACAUAUUAUAGAAUAACGUUCGUUUUGUGAUUAAUAUACAGUGCAUAACGGAUAUAAUGUAGUUUAAAAUUCACCAUUAGUGAAUAUAGAUCUGUAGUUUUUUAUUUAUUAUAGAGAGUUUAAGCUUCGCGUUAUACGUUAAACGGCAAAUGUCAGGCAAAGAAAAAUUCUACGGUAUCAGGCAAUAAAGAGUAAGUAAACUUGCUGUUUUAAAACUGAAAUACAUAAUUAUUCUUUAAAAGCAAGAAAGAAAAUAUGAAACGAAAACGUUCAACGAAAAUUUUGCCAAGAAAGUUUGAACCUGCCGUUUGCCGUUCCCGGAAACGUGAAGCUUAAAGUCCCUAAAUUGACUUUGUAUGUCCGCGCGCCUGCAUAGCAUUGUUCUUUCUAUUUAUAAUAAUAAUAAUAAAGUUCGUCACAGUUCACAUAUUAUUUACAUAUCAACUACAUACGCGUUCACAAAAUAAUAAUCUUACAAAGACAAGUUGUGGCAGGAGAAAGGAACACGACUUUCUUCCCAACUGACACCCCUAAAAUUAAUAUUUGCCUUAUCUUUCUAUCAGUCAAUCCCACCCUGCUUUGCAGAGCCUAUUUUGCUUCGCUCGCUCUCUCGCCUGAAUGUGUCGGGCAAACGUUUGUCCUCCCCAUCAACCCCCUCUUUAGCUUUAUACAAAGGGGGAAUACGAAAUAAAAUGAAGACGUGACAUCAUGACUUCGUACAAAAUUGCAAUAACCCGCAAUAUCUCGUUUUCUGAGCUUCGUUUUCGUGAUGAGAUAUUGGGUUUAGAGCCUUCUAUCUUGUUACAGCUGACACAUUUACGAAUACGAAAGACCUGUUUAUAGACCUGAAGGCUGAACGAAAGGCCUGAAAAACCUUCAGUUUCAUCAGUGAACAUGAAAGACCUGUUGAUGAUAUUGCAAUCGGUAAGAAGACAAAGAGCUGUAAAGCCAAUGUCACAAACACGAAAACGAGGCUCUAUAGCCGUG